UACGAAGGGGGCUAGCGUUGCUCGGAAUUGCUGGGCGUAAAGGGCGCGUAGGCGGCACUGUUAGUCAGGCGUGAAAGUCCUGGGCUCAACCUGGGAACUGCGCUUGAUACGGCAGAGCUAGAGGAUGGAAGAGGGUCGCGGAAUUCCCAGUGUAGAGGUGAAAUUCGUAGAUAUUGGGAAGAACACCGGUGGCGAAGGCGGCGACCUGGUCCAUUACUGACGCUGAGGCGCGACAGCGUGGGGAGCAAACAGGAUUGAGAAACCCUGG
rnacentral:rRNA from 1 species